rnacentral:rRNA from 1 species
GACAGAGGGUGCAAGCGUUGUUCGGAAUUACUGGGCGUAAAGCGUACGUAGGUGGCGGGUUAAGUCGAAUGUUAAAGCCUGAGGCUCAACCUCAGAGAUGCACUCGAUACUGGCCUGCUAGAGGGUGAUAGAGGAAAGCGGAAUUCCCAAUGUAGCGGUGAAAUGCGUAGAUAUUGGGAGGAACAUCAGUAGCGAAGGCGGCUUUCUGGGUCACACCUGACACUGAGGUACGAAAGCGUGGGGAGCAAACGGG